GACGAACGCUGGCGGCGUGCUUAACACAUGCAAGUCGAACGGAAAGGCCCUGCUUUUGUGGGGUGCUCUAGUUGCGAACGGGUGAGUAACACGUGAGUAACCUGCCCUUGACUUUGGGAUAACUUCAUGAAACUGGGGCUAAUACCGGCUAGGAGCUCCUGCUGCUUGGUGGGGGUGGGAUAGUUUCGGCGGUUGGGGAUGGACUCGCGGCUUAUCAGCUUGUUGGUUGGGUAGUGGAUUACCAAGGCUUUGACGGGUAGCCGGGCUGAGAGGGUGACCGGCCAAGUUGGGAUUGAGAUACGGCCCAGCCUACACUGGGAGGGAGCGGUGGGGAAUAUAGCACAAGGGGCGGAGGGCUAGUGUAGUCCCGCAGCGUGGGGGAUGAGGGCCUUCGGGUUGUAUACCGCUUUCGCCUGUGACGAAGCGUGAGUGACGGUAAUGGGUAAAGAAGCACCGGCUAACUCCGUG
rnacentral:rRNA from 1 species